UUUCCGUAGGUGAACCUGCGGAAGGAUCAUUACAGAGUUCAUGCCCUCACGGGUAGAUCUCCCACCCUUGAAUAUUUAUACCUUAGUUGCUUUGGCAGGCCGUGGAAACACCAUGGGCUCCGGCUUAUGCGUGCCUGCCAGAGGAAACAAACUCUGUUUUUAGUGAUGUCUGAGUACUAUAAAAUAGUUAAAACUUUCAACAACGGAUCUCUUGGUUCUG
rnacentral:misc_RNA from 1 species